ensembl:lncRNA
CUCAUUAUCACUUUCUAAACAGAAAGGUGGUGGUGACAAGAGAAGGAUGUGGUGACUCAGGAGGCAGCAAUAAGAAAGCCCAGGGUGAAGUUUCACUUUGAUUUCAGCGGAAAAGUUCCCCGUGAAGAUGCUCCCAGUUUGCAGUCGGCAGAGAAGCAGCUCACCUGAGUUUCACGGAGGGGUUUUCUAAGGACACAAGGUUUAUGCAAUUGUUCUGCCUUCCUGCAACCCCUUCCAAGCCUUCUGCCUAAUCUCAGCUUUUUUUCCAGAGUUGUUUUUCUUAAAGCACUUGUCUGAAGAAAAUCCAGGUUGCUGUAUGUGGGACCUAUUCUGCUUGCAGCCUGAGCAUCAGCAUGGGAGGACUGAGCAGUCAGACCCACAUCAGGAGUGAGGA